rnacentral:rRNA from 1 species
UAGGGAAUCUUCGGCAAUGGACGAAAGUCUGACCGAGCAACGCCGCGUGAGUGAAGAAGGUUUUCGGAUCGUAAAACUCUGUUGUUAGAGAAGAACAAGGACGUUAGUAACUGAACGUCCCCUGACGGUAUCUAACCAGAAAGCCACGGCUAACUACGUGCCAGCAGCCGCGGUAAUACGUAGGUGGCAAGCGUUGUCCGGAUUUAUUGGGCGUAAAGUGAGCGCAGGCGGUUUCUUAAGUCUGAUGUGAAAGCCCCCGGCUCAACCGGGGAGGGUCAUUGGAAACUGGGAGACUUGAGUGCAGAAGAGGAGAGUGGAAUUCCAUGUGUAGCGGUGAGAUGCGUAGAUAUAUGGAGGAACACCAGUGGCGAAGGCGGCUCUCUGGUCUGUAACUGACGCUGAGGCUCGAAAGCGUGGGGAGCAAACAGG